UACGUAGGGUGCGAGCGUUAAUCGGAAUUACUGGGCGUAAAGGGUGCGCAGGCGGCGUCGCAAGUCAGGCGUGAAAUCCCCGGGCUUAACCUGGGAACUGCACUUGAAACUACGAUGCUGGAGUAUGGCAGAGGGAGGUGGAAUUCCACGUGUAGCGGUGAAAUGCGUAGAGAUGUGGAGGAACAACGAUGGCGAAGGCAGCCUCCUGGGCCAAUACUGACGCUCAUGCACGAAAGCGUGGGGAGCAAACAGG
rnacentral:rRNA from 1 species